UGGGGAAUCUUGCACAAUGGGCGCAAGCCUGAUGCAGCCAUGCCGCGUGUAUGAAGAAGGCCUUCGGGUUGUAAAGUACUUUCAGCGGAGAGGAAGGAAGGAAAGUUAAUACCUUUGCUCAUUGGCGUUACCCGCAGAAGAAGCACCGGCUAACUCCGUGCCCGCAGCCGCGGGAAUACGGAGGGUGCCAACGUUAAUCGGAAUUACUGGGCGUAAAGCGCACGCCGGGGGGUUGUUAAGUCAGAUGUGAAAUCCCCGGGCUCUACCUGGGAACUGCUUCUGAUACUGGCAAGCUUGAGUCUCGUAGAGGGGGGUAGAAUUCCAGGUGUAGCGGUGAAAUGCGUAGAGAUCUGGAGGAAUACCGGUGGCGAAGGCGGCCCCCUGGACGAAGACUGACGCUCAGGUGCGAAAGCGUGGGGAGCAAACAGGAUUAGAUACCCUGGUAGUCCACGCCGUAAAACGAUGUCGACUUGGAGGUUGUGCCCUUUGAGGCGUGGCUUCCGGAGCUAACGCGUUAAAUCGACUCGCCUGGGAGUACCGACGCAAGGUUA
rnacentral:rRNA from 1 species